AGCCGCAAGGUCCAGCCGGGAGACACCCUCCGCCCCCGCCAACAUCCCGGGCUGCGAGAAGGGCGCAGGCCCAGCGCGUGUGCUCACCUCGGGCACACCACUACCCACGUGACGGACCAUCCUCGAUGACUUCCCCAACACCAGCCCGGACAGUACUGAUGCACAGUGGCAUUCAAAUCCCAGUUCUCUAGUCAAAACCGGCGCCGUACUGGCCUGAGGCACUUUCACUAUGACUGUGGACAAUACAAUGUCCCAUGUUCCCCCAGUGCUGAAGAUUUUUGACCCUUUCACUGCAUUCCCAACCUCCAUCACACAGAAGACCAUCCCCUGGGGCCUCCUUGAUGGACUGUAGAGAGAUGAGAGCUUCUCCACAACUAUGAGCAUAGAGACCCAGAAAUUGGAAACGCCCUCCUGGCAUCACUGUGCACUGGUAUUGGCAAGAAGAUGCCAGACUCAACUUGUGGAUGGGCAGCUGAAUUAGACCAUGCAAAUCAUCAUGGGAACUUUAAAAUCAACACCUCUACCGUGGCUUUCUAUAUUAGCAAACAUCAAACCUCCAGUUAUCCAUCGAGAUGUAGCCACAGCAUGAUAAUGUAAAUGGUUCGAAGACUACCCAGCACUUCCCAUCUGGCAGGCUAUGGCUAACAUAUGCCAAAAAUGCCUGAAAUUGCAAAAACGACCAUGGACCAUACGUGACCACCUCAUGUCUCUGGAUCUGACCAGGGAAUGGCAAAGUGUCUGGAGCUCACCUACCAUUCCAAAUAAGCACAUUAUUAUUGAGCCAACAAGGCGCUGGCUUAGUUUUGAUGUGCCACGCUGACUUUGGACCACACUGAAGCACAUCCAACAAAGUAUGGAAGAUGCUGCUACUUUAUGCACAAGUGGAACAUCAAAGACUCCCCUUCAUGCGACUGUGGUGUGAACAUCCAAACCAUCAAACACGUUAUAACACAGUGCCCCAAAUAUGGAUUCAAAGGUGAACUGGACGAUAUCCACAGUGUCAAAGAGGAGGCCUUGAAAUGGCUCAUGGACCUAUAACUGCAGCUAUAGAAUGUUGCUCUGCAGAUGCCAUAUGCAUGCAAAAGAGAGAGGCCGUCCUCAUUCAA